GGGCCUGUGCACACCACGUUUUUUAAACGCGCCGUCGACGCGCGUUCCUAGCAAUACAGACGCGAUACGCAUGCAAGUCAGACGCAGCCUGUAGACCUUUGCACACCUGUAUAAAUUCAAAUACGCGUUUGUAUCGAUCGAUACAAACGUCAAGAAACCAUUCUGUGGGAUAAAAACGCGCCGUCGACGCGCGUUUGUAGCGAUACAGACGCGUUUCUAACGCGCGUUUGUAUCGACAACAAACCGCUCUGUAGGAUAAAAAACGUGGUGUGCACAGGCCCUAAGCAAUAAAACAAAUUAAAAAUAAGCUUCUUAUGUUCUUAUUAGAUCUUAAUUGAUGUAGCUUCCAGUCAGAAAUAAAUGCGAUGCCGUCGCUUGCUUCACCCACGUUCGUAAGCCACUAGUUCAGAGACAUUUCAAUGAAUUGAGUCACCGUUAUUGUGUUGAUCAGACGUCUUGUACGAACUAUAGCAACAUGAGGAGAGUUUAAACAAAAAAAGUUGACAAAUAUAUCUGCAAUAAUAAAGAUUUUAUGGUUUUUAACUAGCUGAUUUACUCUUGCUUCGAACCCCAUUAAUAAUGAUUAAUUGUAAUACUUUUAAAAUAUUGAAGCGAUUUGCGUGAAAAACGAAAAUUUCAAAAUUUUGAGUUAGAGUAGGGUUCAUUGGAGGCAUCGAAAUGUGAAACCUUCGACACGCGUGUUCGUUUUGUGAAGAUUCUUCUUAUUUUGUCAAUUAUACGUUUAACUAUGUUUUCCAAAAUACAAAACUACAUUAAAGAGUAAUAGUAUACUAGUUAUGAGCGUAAAUAUUCCUAAUUUAAUAAACUACCGAAGAAAUGAA